UUCGCGGCGGGGAUCGUAUUCCAGGGACCUGCCCGAAACGCUACGCGUACUAGUGGCUGUACAAGAAUGUAACAACUCUUGUAUAUAUCAAAAAAAAAAAAAAAAAAAAAAAUUAUUAUGCAUAAGAAGUUAUAAGUUUGCAGAAGCAAUUUGUCAUAAGGGAAUGAGUGACAGUUUGUAAGAGUUCAGAGAAAUUUCUAUCUAGUCUACCAAAUUAUUAUAACACUGCUGUAAAUGGUUUACUAGUGUGUGGUGGUUCAGUGGUAGUGUUAUAAUGCUGCCGAGUAUUGUGAUGCUACCAAGGUAUGCCAGGUUCAGGUGCCCCGAUUACCUCUCUAGUCGUAUGUGGGACAGAAAGUCUUCUCUGGGUUGCCUCAGGCAAGUCUCGGUCUUUUUGAUGGGUUUCCAUUGUUCGUUGCCGUUCCCUGGUUAUCUCUUAACACAUUUGCAGGACGUGGGUGACAAAGAGAACUUUGCGACUCUUCAGUCAUGCCGGUUUGCCAUUUGGGUUUCUCUCCAGAAUGCAGUUUGGUCGGUCACUCUUGUUUGCUUCCCUUUUCUCUUUCUUCAAGAGUAGCAAUUUCAUGUGAAUUGGCAGUUGCAGGUGUGUGUGUAUUCAGCUCCUUCACCAGAUGUUUCGACUGCAGUCAGUGACUUCAGUUCCAGCUUUGGGCUGGUCCCACCAGUCAACUGUUUCUCCAGAUCUGGGGGAUGUUGAGAUGUUUGCUAAUUUGAUGGCUUUCUUUGCCAAUUUGGCAACAUCUGAUAUUCGUGGUUGGGCUUCUGGCAAUCCUUAUGAUGAUGACUUUCAUUUUUUAUUGGAAGGUGGAUAUUCUUUGGGCUCACUGUUCUCGUGAAUAAUUGGGUGUUUAGCACACAUCUGCCAUUCUUUGCCUUUGGCCUCUCCUCUCCUGUCAUUCUUCUUCCACGUUCUUAUGUGAGUGGUCUUGAGAAUCCACUGAGGGGUUGCUCCCAAAUAUCAAGUGUUGGCUGUUAUGAAAUGCCCUUUUCUGGUAGACUCCCUGUACUCCAAAGGGGGGGGUCCAAUUCCAGACCUUCUUACCCCUAGAUUUGAGGGGUUUUGGCACAGUAAGGACAUGUGCCGUGCGGCAAUGAUCAUUUGCUUUGUUUACCUUGCGGUCCGCUCUUCCCUUCAAGCAGUUGCUCGUUUUGAGUCGGUCUCCCGAUCUCUCCUAACCUCGUACAGUGAGCCAGAUUGUGGUCUUGGCUUCCAGGAGGACACACACACACACACACACACGUAUGGGUUUCAGAGUCCUGGUGUGUUGGCAAGCUACUGGAGACAUUCUAGAAAAAGUGUUUCAGAACAUUCAAUGCUUGAAUUUUGUAAUAACAAGUGGCAGGCAUCAUCCCUUCAUCCCUUAUUCAAUUGUUAAGCUAAAUACUGGAUAUGAACAAAAGAAAUAGUUUAAUGAUAGUAGUGGUGCCUCUAUUAACGAGUUUAAUGCGUUCCAGCACCGGGCUUGUUAUGUGGAAAACUCGUCUUGCGAAAUAACAACAAAACUCUCGUUGGAGGUGUCCGAGAACCAGCGGGAACGCUCGUUAAUUGAGCGAAAGCUUGUCAGUCGAGACAAUUUCUGCAAGUGGCUUGCUCAUUACUCGAAAUGCUCAUAACUGGAGCUGCUCGUCACUCGAGUUCCACUGUAUAAUAUCGAUUUCCAGCAGGCACUGCAAGUCGUCAAUGAUGGUCUGUAGUCACUGCAUGGCAUGCAAGACAUUAAUAAGGCUCACAUGACAAAAAAAUCAAGAUAAAUUUGAGUAGUCUUUAAACUCUCCAAAUAAAGAGUGGACCAAAAUGUUAAGUACAUAAUUGGACCAGUCACAUCAAUGCAAUAAAUUGACCAAUAAUUUUGCUAGUUGUAGGAAUGUAGUAGUACUUCAGAACAACAACAAGACAUUACAAAGCCCCCCAAAACGAAUUUGAGACAGAUUAACCCCUCAACUGCACUGGCCAACAAAUGUCGUUUUGAGAGUUGUCCAUUUUUUUUUUUUAAUUAUGCUGUAUUUUAAUGUUUUUUAAAGUUUUCAUCACUUCUUUUUUUAAAUGAAAAUACUGUAGUUGAGUUUGGACAAUUUUGACAUUAACUUUACCUAAACAUUUAUAAAAACAACAAAAAUAUGUCCUUAACAAAUGCACUGUGAAGUUUUUGCCAAAAACAGGUGCGCAGUGCAGGGAUUAAAGGCAUUACAUUGUUGACUGGUAUUCAUUUGUGUUGCACUAUACCGUCUUGUAAUUUUGAAAUAAGCCUCUGUGAUAUAAGUAUCUUUGCAUCGUCCCAAAAGAAGCUCCAGAAUACGCUGCAUAAAAAUGUUCAGAUUGUGGCAAUUCACGUUUGCAAACGUGUUCAAAUUUUGAGCUCUUUUCAUUCUCUAUACUCGUAAGAAUUUUUUAUCCAAACUAAUUUAGCUUUAUGUACAGUAUUGUAUACUACUAUUAAUUACUUUGUAAUGAAGCCAAGAACUAGUCAUAGUAAUGUUUAGAUAAUAUGCACUAAUUGAUCUCGUUGAUGUUGACGAGACCACACACUAGGUGGUGAAGGGACGAAGACGUUUCGGUCCAUCCUGGACCAUUCUCAAGUCGAUUGUGACUUGAGAAUCGACUUGAAUCGGUCCAUCCCGGACCACAAUCGACUUGAGAAUGGUCCAGGAUGGACCGAAAUGUCGUCGUCCCUUCACCUUCUAGUGUGUGGUCUGGUCAACAUACUUUAGCCAUGUUAUUGUGACUCAUCACCUGCUGAUAGAUCUCAUAAUUUCACUUAGUGAAAGUGAAAUAUUUCCAUUAUGUGAUUAGGAAUUAUGGUUAUGUGUCAUGAGUAAAAGAAUCAAGUGCUGCUUGUGUUAACAGUCCAGUCGUGUAAUAAUGACUAAUGCCCAGUGUGUUAUUAGUGCAAAACAAUUCAGAAGGCUAAUUUGUAUAAGUGAUGUUAAGAAUAAAGCCGGUGAAGGAAUAACUUGACUUUAACCAAGUUGUGACAACGAACAUUAACAUCAAGGCCACAAGCGGUGCUGGACAUUGUGUAAAAAAAAUUCUAUAUAUUCUCUUCAAUAACUGGUUAUUAAUAUGAUCAUUAAUUGAAUAAUUUUUCUAAUACUGUACAGGUAUAUGAAUAUUGUGAAAGAAUUUGCCUUCUGUAACAACUUUGGUUCUUAAUGAAUAUUGUACAAAAAUUUGCCUGUACUGUAUAUGUAAGAGACCAAUUAAAUUUGUGUAAUUUGGUAUAAAUGCCAUCUGACACAAAUACUUCAUUAAUAAUGAGGGGAUAAUCCCCAUGAACCAAACAAUGUACCAUAAACCCAAUGUACCUUCUUGUAUAUAAAUAAAUAAAAUAAAAUAAAUAUGAACAAAUCCA